GACUCACUCAAGCAUGGGUGCUGGCAAAGCAGGAACAACAGAAGGCCAAGAGGACAGAGGAUUCCAGGGUGAAUGUGAAUGCCCAACUGAAAUUUUCAGUAUUUGAUACUACGUUUGGAUUCCAUCCUAUCCUCAUAUUUCCAAAGAGAGAAAACCAACACUUUCAGCUAAAAUUUCUAAGAGAUGGCUCAACAGAAUUGUCCAGGCAGAGGUCCAGGAGGUCCAGGCAGGCAGAGGUCAAGAGAGAUUGCCUUCGCUGGAGAUGGGACGAUCAGAACCAUCAACUAAACUUAAACAACAAUGGCCUGAAGUU